rnacentral:rRNA from 1 species
UACGUAGGGGGCUAGCGUUGUCCGGAAUCAUUGGGCGUAAAGAGCGUGUAGGCGGUCCGGUAAGUCCGCUGUGAAAGUCGGGGGCUCAACCCUCGAAUGCCGGUGGAUACUGUCGGGCUAGAGUGCGGAAGAGGCGAGUGGAAUUCCUGGUGUAGCGGUGAAAUGCGCAGAUAUCAGGAGGAACACCUAUAGCGAAGGCAGCUCGCUGGGACGACACUGACGCUGAGACGCGAAAGCGUGGGGAGCAAACAGG